CCGGAAAACAGAGUUUUGUCUGAAAUCUCCUCCUUCAACAGGCUGAGGUAACAGGACUGAUAAGAACCUGCCAGUGUGCACAGGAAGUCUGCUGAUACUGACAGAUGCCACCGCCUUCUGGGGGCACAGGACGUCCAGCAUCCUGAGGGAGCCUGUUCACAACAGUGUUCAGCAUCCUGAGAGCCUGUUCACAACGGUAAACGUGAGCAGCGUUGCUGGAGGCGGCUCUGCCUCCAGGGCACUUGCUGCUGUGGUGGCAUCAAAGGCCCACUCUGCAGCAGUGACCACGUGGCCACGACCACACUGGCCUCCCAGCAGCUGUCCUGACAGGUGGCUCAGGGGCAGCACCCGAAGAAGGACCUGGACACACGGGGAAGGCUGAACUCAAGUCAAAGGCUGGGAAUACGCCCAGACAGGAGGCCUCUCCUUCUGCGUGAGCCUCGGUAUCCUCAUGAGCUACCUCACUGGCACCCAGCUUUUCACCCUUCAAAGGGCUUCCUUGGUGGCUCAGUGGUAAAGAACUCACCUGCCGAUGCAGAAGACGCGUGUUGGAUCCCUGGGUGGGGAAGAUCCCCCGCAGAAGGAAACGGCAACCACUCCAGUAUUCUUGCCUGGAGAAAUCUAUGGACAGAGGAG
ensembl:lncRNA